AUAGCCAUAUCAUGUUGAAACACCAGCUCAUCUAUGAUCACUGAAGUUAAGCAACAUCAAGCCUGGCCAGUACCUAGCUGGGUGACUGCCUGGGAAUGCCAGGUGCUGUAA